CAGGACGUGUUGUAAAGCAGAUAUCUCAAAGGAGAGUGUCCCACGCCAGCCAGCUGUGGUCUUCUCCAGAAGGGGUUUGCUCAGCCAGAACUCCUGG